GAUGAACGCUGGCGGCGUGCCUAAUACAUGCAAGUCGAGCGAACAGACGAGGAGCUUGCUCCUCUGACGUUAGCGGCGGACGGGUGAGUAACACGUGGAUAACCUACCUAUAAGACUGGGAUAACUUCGGGAAACCGGAGCUAAUACCGGAUAAUAUAUUUAACCGCAUGGUUCAAUAGUUAAAGACGGUUUUUCUUUCACUUAUAGAUGGAUCCUCGCCGCAUUAGCUAGUUGGUAAGGUAACGGCUUACCAAGGCAACGAUGCGUAGCCGACCUGAGAGGGUGAUCGGCCACACUGGAACUGAGACACGGUCCAGACUCCUACGGGAGGCAGCAGUAGGGAAUCUUCCGCAAUGGGCGAAAGCCUGACGGAGCAACGCCGCGUGAGUGAUGAAGGUCUUCGGAUCGUAAAACUCUGUUAUUAGGGAAGAACAAAUGUGUAAGUAACUAUGCACGUCUUGACGGUACCUAAUCAGAAAGCCACGGCUAACUACGUG
rnacentral:rRNA from 1 species